AUGAUCUCACUCCACGGAGGGAAAAGGUUUGUUAAUUCAUUCAAAAGACGGGCUUUCCUAGCUCAUAUAGUGGAAAGCGCCCUUCCCACAUCGAUCCCUCGAGGUGGAAGAAUGAUGAAACCUGCCAAGUCUCUGGAGUGUGCUUCUAUCGCCCGAGCAAGAGAAGGGCUGCAGAUGAGCUAUCAAGUCGUGCAUUUCUCCCGAAAGUGAGGAGAAUGCCCCGGAUAUCCUCAUAG